UGAUUCAUUGUUUUUGUUGAAUUGAAUGUCAACGGAUACAGAUGUGGAUGUCCCUUCUUCACAUCAACCCAAACGUUUCACAUUCACACUUUAAAAUUUAAAUAUCUUUUGAUACGUUUCACAUUCACAUUAAAUAUUUUUUGAUUCACUGUUUUUGUUGAAUUGAAUGUCAGGGGGUACAGAGGUGGGUGUCCCUUCACAUUAACUGUUUUUGUUGUGUGUACAAUGGUCAUCGAAAAAUUCCAUCAACAACCUCUAUCUCCAGAUCAUACCCAGCACCUGUUUGAAGAAAUGCCUCACUCAGCAUCCCAGCCCAACACAGAACACAUUGCACGCGUAGGGGAUGGUUUCCGAUGCCACCACACCAAAACCCCUCUAUCGACCCCUUUUGUGUUUUUUUGUUUGAUUUUUUUAUUUUGUUUUUUGGUCUUGUAUUUUGUUUUCUGUUUUAUUAUUAUUAUUGAAAUGGCGCGAUUUUAGGUGGUGGAUGGCUGCUAUGCCAGAUUUGAGGUGUGGUGAUUGUGAUAUUUGGAAUGGAGUGACAAUUGAGAAAUGGGUUUGUUUCAUCUGCUCAGCCUAUAUUGAGACAAGCCAAUUUUAAGGGUGCGAAGUUACUAGGUGCUAGCUUCUUUGAUGCAGAUUUAACAGGGGCUGAUCUUUUGGAUGCUGAUCUAAGAGGGGCAGACUUUUCAUUGGCAAAUGUGACAAAGGUAAAUCUAAGCAAUGCUAACUUGGAUGGGGCACUUGCUACUGGGAACACAUCUUUCGAGGGAUCAAACAUAACUGGUGCUGUAGAAACCAUUUGUGGUGAUUUUUUUUUUUUUUUUUUUUUUUAAAUAGCUAAACUGUUAAUAGUUCAUUACAUUUCUUGAGUCAAUCAGUUAGGGGUCAUACUCAUUGUAUUCAACAUAGCCAAUUUGCCCAAUCUACUAAAUUAUGUUACUUUAGCAAUAAGCUGCUGGCAAAGAGAACAACAUGUUUAAGAAAACAAUAUGAACAAAUAAUAUAUAAAGAGUGAAACUCACUAGCAAAGAUGUUAUGUCAGUGAACCUAUAAAACAUUUGGCUCUUUCAAUUCAAUUAUUGUGACUGAUUUACUUAUAUAAGAUACCGUGGAGUUUUUUAAUGAGAUAUUGUUUUGUUUGAAACAUUGACCUGCAUAUUUUGAUUCAUAAACAGACAACUUCUUUGAAUAAAUUAAUUAAAUAUCAACUGAAAGGACAAUAUUGUUUUUCAUGUCCUAUGUAUUGUGAACAGGAAUUUUACAUUUUAUAUUUCUCCAGCAAAGGACAUUUUAUUUGGGUAGGGAUUGUAAACGCGCUCGAUCACCCACUUACACACGUUCACACACAUUUGUUAAAGUUGAGACUCUACAGAUGUGCCUUUGAGAGAUGAUCAACGGGAAUACCUUUGCAAAGUUGCAGAUGGCGUAAAUUCAACAACCGGCAAUGCAACACGUGACACAUUACUUUGCAACUAGAAUUUCUUUACUCAUGUACAGAGAGGGAGCAUCGUUCCUAUCGAUUAAUCUGUAACUGCAGCAAUUUGAGAGGCUUAUGUUAAACUUGAACAACAAACCCGAGCAUGUAAUAAAUUGUAUUGUGUUUUGAACUAUUAGACUGUCCUAUGUAUCAAAUGGAAACUUCUUGGUUAUUUGAAGAAAUUUGUUCUAGGUUUUGGAUCGAUGGAUUUUUCAAAUGUAAUUAUAAAUGCAUUCAAUGCCAGCGGUUCUAUUUGAUUUAAAUUUCAUUCUAUUGGAAUAUACUAAUGUGCAUUUUGACAUAUUGGAAUAAUACUGAAGCUGCCAAUUUUGUUGCUUCUCAGCCUUUGAAAUGAAAACAAAAUUCAUGGAAGAGAAGAUAAUCAGAUAUUCAUGGAUUUAUACUAUAUUAGUUGUUUGUGUUUUAUGAGGAUCUGAACGAUUUUGCUUGAGACCACCGACAUAACCAUGUUCAAGUGAUUUGAUUGGAGAAGAUGGAUGUGAUUGACUUGGAAGAUGAGACAAUAGAUGCUGAGAUACUCAAUUCUAUGGCAGUGACAAAUGAACACUUCAAGACUGCUCUUGGAACAAGCAACCCAUCGGCUCUACGAGAAACUCAAUUUUGUGAUAAAUGUGCUGGAAGUGCCCAAUGUCAGUUGGGAGGAUAUUGGAGGACUUGAGAAUGUUAAGAGGGAACUCCAAGAGACUGUUCAAUAUCCAGUGGAGCAUGCAUCCUGAGAAAUUUGGAAUGUCACCCUCAAAGGGAGUGCUCUUCUUAGUUUUAUCAGUUGAUAACUCUCACUGGCUGGGUGAAGCAUUUUUAAUCCUUAGAUUGCUGCAAAUUGCAGUAUUGAAGUUUGAGUUUACUAUACAAUAAUCAUUUUUCUGAAAAAUAAAAUUUUGCAAUAUGAUCUGCCUAUUUGUUCAUUUUCAAGUUUGUAUUGCUCGAUUAUGCCUGUGUUGUUUUUCUCUGAAUGAAGAAAUAAAUGUGAACAUUAUGUGCUAUAAAAUGUAUUGUGUUCUCUGUACUGCAUGAUGAUAAUCAUUGUUUGUAAUUAUCCCUUGGUAUUGAGUGAGUUUACAGAUUCUUGACAAGUAAUGAAUUUGUUCCCUCAACAAGAAGAACAGGAUUAUACCAAGGCACAUUCAGAUGGCCGUUAGGAACGAUGAGGAGUUGAGCAAGUUGAUGGGGUCUGUGACAAUUGCAAAUAGAGGUGUUUUGCCGAAUAUUCAUCAGAAUCCGCUGCUCAAGAAAACUGGGACUGAAAAGAGAGAGAUCAGAUCUGUCUCUUAGGAGUUUUGCGGAUUAUAAGAAUAGUUUAGGUUGAUUUUGUUGAUAAGCAUGUAG